UCUUCUAGUGAAUAAGGAGAAGACCUGACGGUACCACCAAAGGAACCACCGGCUAAUUCCGUGCCAGCACCCGCGGUAAGACGUAGGGGGCAAACGUUGUUCGGAAUCCCGGGGCUUAAACGGCGUGUGGGCGGUUCGAUAUUUCGAGUGUGAAUGCCCGAGGCUCAACUUCGAAAGUGCAUUGAAAACUGUCGAGCUUGACUACGGGAAAGGGAAGUGGAUUUCCUGGUGUAGAGGUAAAAUUCUUAAAUAUCGGGAGGACCACCGGUGGCAAAGGCGGCUUCCUGGACCGAUACUGACGCUAAGACGCGAAAGCGUGGGGAGCAAACAGGAUUAAAUACCCGGGUAUUCCACGCCGUAAACUGUGAGUGCUAGGUGUAGGGGGUAUUGACCCCUGCUGU
rnacentral:rRNA from 1 species